rnacentral:lncRNA from 1 species
AUUGACAGGUAACCCUUAUAAGAGAUUCUGCACUGCAAGUCUUUGAUUAUGAAGCCAGAACCUGGAAAUACCCGGUCCAGACAGCGACCCCAGGUAACAGAUGUCCCCAAAAGACUGAGGAUGUUGUGGGUCACAGCUUGGAGAUCUGUGUCCAUCCACAAGAGGUGCUGACAGGUCGAAUUCUUCUCUCUUCUUUCUGUCCCAGAGCGUGGCUCCUUCAUUCAUUUCCCUACGUUACCCUACCUUACCAAGCUCUUCCUGUGGGUCUGGGACUGGGAAGAUGUUACAUUGUUGCUAAUUACAUUGUUGCUAACUGA